rnacentral:rRNA from 1 species
ACAGCUAAUACACGCAUCAAAACCCAACCUUCGGUGGGGUGCGUUUGUUACUUCCGGACUUCGGUCUGAAAUCAAGUGAUAUUGAACAAUUUAGCUGAUCGCAGAACCGGCGACAUAUCCUUCAAAUGUCUGCCUUAUCAACUUUCGAUGGUAGAUUACGCGCCUACCAUGGUUGUAACGGGUAACGGAGAAUCAGGGUUUGAUUCCGGAGAGGGAGCCUGAGAAACGGCUACCACAU